UACGGAGGGUGCAAGCGUUAUCCGGAUUCACUGGGUUUAAAGGGUGCGUAGGCGGACAGGUAAGUCAGUGGUGAAAUCUCCGAGCUUAACUCGGAAACUGCCGUUGAUACUAUCUGUCUUGAAUACUGUGGAGGUAAGCGGAAUAUGUCAUGUAGCGGUGAAAUGCCUAGAUAUGACAUAGAACACCUAUUGCGAAGGCGACUUCCUGGCCUGUUCUUGACGCUGAGGCGCGAAAGCUAGGGGAGCAAACGGG
rnacentral:rRNA from 1 species